rnacentral:rRNA from 2 species
GGGCUGCAGUAUUUUGACUGUACAAAGGUAGCAUAAUCAAUAGUCUCUUAAUUGGUGACUUGUAUGAAAGAUUGGAUGAGAUAUAUACUGUCUCUAAUUAAUUUAUUGAAAUUAAUUUUUUAGUAAAAAAGCUAAAAUAAUUUUAAAAGACGAGAAGACCCUAUAGAGUUUAAUAAUUUAUUUAAUUAUUAUUAAUAUAUAAUUUUUAAAAUUAAAAUUAAAUAAAUUAUUUUGUUGGGGUGAUAAAAAAAUUAAAUUAACUUUUUUUUGUUAUUAACAUUAAUUUAUGAGUAAAUGAUCCAUUUAUAGUGAUUAAAAGAAAAAAUUACCUUAGGGAUAACAGCGUAAUUUUUUUUUUUAGUUCAAAUAGGAAAAAAAGUUUGCGACCUCGAUGUUGGAUUAA